AAGUUUCUAACAUAUACAACGUAUUCUUACAAAAAAUGUUUUUUUAAGGAA
rnacentral:tRNA from 1 species